rnacentral:rRNA from 1 species
CAGCCGCCGCGGGAAAACGGAGGGUGCAAGCGUUAAUCGGAAUUACUGGGCGUAAAGCGCACGCAGGCGGUCUGACAAGUCAGAUGUGAAAUCCCCGGGCUUAACCUGGGAACUGCAUUUGAAACUGUCAGGCUGGAGUCUUGUAGAGGGGGGUAGAAUUCCAGGUGUAGCGGUGAAAUGCGUAGAGAUCUGGAGGAAUACCGGUGGCGAAGGCGGCCCCCUGGACAAAGACUGACGCUCAGGUGCGAAAGCGUGGGGAGCAAACAGGAUUAGAGACCCCUGUAGUCCCUGUCUCUUAUAC